rnacentral:rRNA from 1 species
UACGUAGGGGGCAAGCGUUGUCCGGAUUUACUGGGCGUAAAGAGCGCGCAGGCGGUCGGAUUAGUCGCGUGUGAAAGCCCCCGGCUCAACUGGGGAGGGUCACGCGAUACUGUUCGACUCGAAGGCAGGAGAGGGAAGUGGAAUUCCCGGUGUAGUGGUGAAAUGCGUAGAUAUCGGGAGGAACACCAGUGGCGAAGGCGGCGCUCUGGACCGAGACUGACGCUGAGGCGCGAAAGCGUGGGGAGCAAACAGG